GACGAUUGCAGGCAAUUACAGGUCUGUGAUGCCCUUAGAUAUUCGGGGCUGCAAGCGCGCCGCACUGACUCGCUCAACAAGCUUGUGGC
rnacentral:rRNA from 8 species